rnacentral:rRNA from 1 species
UCGCACGAGAAAGGGAGCAAUCCUGAGUAAAGUGGCGUACGGGUGAGUAACACGUGGAUCAUCUACCUUUUAGUGGGGAAUACCCCCGGGAAACCGGUGCUAAUACCGCAUACGAUCGCGAUGUCUGCGGACGUUGUGAUGAAAGGAGCAAUUCGCUCCAGGAGGAGCCCGCGGCUGAUUAGCUAGUUGGUGAGGUAAUGGCUCACCAAGGCUACGAUCAGUAUCCGGUCUGAGAGGACGGUCGGACACACUGGAACUGAGACACGGUCCAGACUCCUACGGGAGGCAGCAGUGGGGAAUUUUUGGCAAUGGGGGCAACCCUGACCAAGCAACGCCGCGUGGGUGAUGAAGUCUCUUGGGACGUAAAACCCUUUCGACGGGGAAGAAAACCGCAAGGUUUGACGGUACCCGUAGAAGAAGCCCCGGCUAACUCCGUGCCAGCAGCCGCGGUAAUACGGGGGGGGCGAGCGUUGUUCGGAAUUACUGGGCGUAAAGGGUGCGUAGGCGGUCCGCUAAGUUAGAUGUGAAAACUCUGGGCUCAACCCAGAGCCUGCAUCUAAUACUGACGGGCUAGAGUUCUGGAGGGGGUAGCGGAAUUCCUGGUGUAGCGGUGAAAUGCGUAGAUAUCAGGAGGAACACCGGUGGCGAAGGCGGCUACCUGGACAGAGUCUGACGCUGAGGCACGAAAGCUAGGGGAGCAAACAGGAUUAGAUACCCUGGUAGUCCUAGCCCUAAACGAUGG